GGGGGUGGAGAGGAAGAGUUACCAAGGAAACACUAAGGGGGUGGAGAGGUAGAGUUACCAAGGAAACACUGAGGGGGUGGAGGAUGGAGAGGUAGAUUUACCAGGGAAACACUGAGGGGGUGGAGGAUGGAGAGGUAGAGUUACCAGGGAAACACUGAGGGGGUGGAGGGUGGAGAGGUAGAUUUACCAGGGAAACACUGAGGGGGUGGAGGGUGGAGAGGUAGAGUUACCAGGGGAACACUGAGGGGGUGGAGGAUGGAGAGGAAGAGUUACCAAGGAAACCCUGAGGGGGUGGAGGAUGGAGAGGUAGAGUUACCAGGGGAACACUGAGGGGGUGGAGGAUGGAGAGGUAGAGUUACCAAGGAAACACUAAGGGGUGUGGGG
ensembl:lncRNA